rnacentral:rRNA from 1 species
AUUGAACGCUGGCGGCAGGCCUAACACAUGCAAGUCGAACGAGUGGCGGACGGGUGAGUAAUGUCUGGGAAACUGCCUGAUGGAGGGGGAUAACUAAUGGAAAAGGUAGCUAAUACCGCAUACUAUCGGAUGUGCCCCGAUGGGAUUAGCUCGUAGGUGGGGUAACGGCUCACCUAGGCGACGCUCCCUAGCUGGGCUGAGAGGAUGACCAGCCACACGGGAACGGAUACACGGGCCAUACUCCGACGGGAGGCAGCAGUGGGGAAUAUUGCACAAUGGGUGCAAGCCUGAUGCAGCCAUGCCGCGUGUAUUAAGAAGGCCUUCGGGUUGUAAAGUACUGUCAGCGGGGAGGCGUUACCCGCAGAAGAAGCACCGGCUAACUCCGUGCCAGCAGCCGCGGUAAUUC